AAUGAAUCUACCAGUGUUGUUGCAGUAGGUAGCUAAUCAGGCAUCAGUGGGCAGGAGAGGGCUCCACCAAAACCCCACCAGGAAUGUCAGGCAUCAGGUGAUGGUCAGGCGGUUGUUAACUGUCUCUCUAAAAUAAUAAUUGGUUGCAGCCAGCAGCAGGGAAAGGCAGUCUUUCUACAGAUAGGAAACACCUGAGACUGGUGAUCAGCCGCUUCCUGAUGAGAUCUCAGGAGUGAGCUCGAGCAUGCGCAUUAAGAAACAAAAUGGCCGAGUUUAACUGGUAUGUGAACGUUUUAAGAUUUGACUCAGGGGCAUAAAGGCAGAAAAAGAGACUGAGGCAAGUUUUAGGGCAGGAGUGGAAGGCAAGAAUUGAUGUUGCUGCAGACCUGUACGGAUUUGCUGCUGGAGGUCUCUUUUCCACUGGAGCCUACUUUGAAAUCAGCUGAGGAGCCACCAAAUCCUAUGGCCACCUGGGCUGUGCCCUAUGAACAGCUCUCUAUUGAAAGAGAGCUACUAGGUUGACUGAUGGCAGUUCCAAGGUGGAUAAUCAACAUCCUGUUUGGAAGACUACUGUACUACAUCAGAUGAUGGAAAAGUUCUGAUUGAGGAAGGUUACAUCUACUACAAUACUGCAGAUACAGUAUAACAUUGGUAUUGCUGGUAUGAUUCCUCUCCCUUAGAAUCAGGAAGACAGCCUGGCUUGAUGUCAUGACUACAGGGGUCUAAAAACCCAGAUGGGAACUUUUGCCUUGAGGUUUUCUGAAGCUAAGAUGCAUCACAUAGAUCUUGGUGUUUCAGUCUGAAGACAGGCAGUCUAUGUGUGUGAAUAAGGCCCCUGGAAAGCUUGCACCUGGGCCCCAAUGCUUGCCACAGUAUCUUUCUCUUGCUGCACCGUAUCCUGUGCCUUUGAAUAAAAGCCACACAGAAGAAUGCUCUGUGAAGUCUUAUAAGUCCUUUCAAAUAUCCAAAUUUGUAAAAUCUUUGCAAUAGUCAAGUGACAAAAGCAAGGUCUAGAGCAAUACGUAAGACUGUGGGAAGUAAACUUUCUGAAAUGCUAGCAAGCAAAGGUGGAAAAAGCCAUCAAGGACACAUGUGGGAGAAGAUUUUGAUUCUUCCUACACAAGGAUGUAUUGUAUUGGGUGUUCCAGUUGGCUUGAGGACCAGCAGAGCUUGCAAAAAUUUCAGGGGCACAGACUGAAAAUAAAAGAACAGUGGCAUAGCCCAAAAUAAAGCUUUUAUCCAGCAUGACUAUACCUUGCACAGAUAGUGUGACCAGUAGCUGUGUGACAUCAUGACUCUGGGGAUCUUGGGAAACGUAUGCUGAGAGAGGUUGCACCUUCACCAGGGUGGAGGCUGGAUUCACAGGGCCCAAAGUCUAUUCAUUAUGUAAGAUAUCUGAAAGGAGGCACCACAAACUCUAGCCACUCUUACAACAAUAUUUUGGUUAGAAACUAUAUUUAGAAUUUCAAUAGAAGAGGCCAGAAACACAGCUGCCCACAUCUGAAAGAAC
rnacentral:lncRNA from 1 species